UACGGGGGGGGCAAGCGUUGUUCGGAAUUACUGGGCGUAAAGGGCUCGUAGGCGGCCAACUAAGUCAAACGUGAAAUCCCUCGGCUUAACCGGGGAACUGCGUCUGAUACUGGAUGGCUUGAGUUUGGGAGAGGGAUGCGGAAUUCCCAGUGUAGCGGUGAAAUGCGUAGAUAUUGGGAGGAACACCAGUGGCGAAGGCGGCUCGCUGGACCGGAACUGACGCUGAGGCGCGAAAGCGUGGGGAGCAAACAGG
rnacentral:rRNA from 1 species